UACGUACCGUCCAAACGUUAUUCGGAAUCACUGGGCUUAAAGAGUUCGUAGGCGGCUCAGAAAGUUGGGUGUGAAAUCCCUCGGCUCAACCGAGGAAUUGCGCUCAAAACUACUGAGCUAGAGGGAGAUAGAGGUGAGCGGAACUGAUGGUGGAGCGGUGAAAUGCGUUGAUAUCAUCGAGGAACACCGGAGGCGAAGGCGCUCACUGGGUCGUUUCCUGACGCUGAGGAACGAAAGCUAGGGGAGCGAACGG
rnacentral:rRNA from 1 species